rnacentral:rRNA from 1 species
CUCGUAGGCGGCCAACUAAGUCAGACGUGAAAUCCCUCGGCUUAACCGGGGAACUGCGUCUGAUACUGGAUGGCUUGAGUUUGGGAGAGGGAUGCGGAAUUCCAGGUGUAGCGGUGAAAUGCGUAGAUAUCUGGAGGAACACCGGUGGCGAAGGCGGCAUCCUGGACCAACACUGACGCUGAGUGAGCGAAAGCCAGGGGAGCAAACG